rnacentral:ncRNA from 11 species
GGGGUUAUAGUUAAAUUGGUAGAACAAUUGUGUUGCAUGCAAUAGAUAUGAGUUCAAUUCUCAUUAACUCCA